AUGAGUAGCUGGCACUUGCUUCUAUUAAAUAGACAGUCAAUUUGUAGUAUGCAUCAGUACCACAAAAAGCCUUUUAGGUUGCCUGUCAGUUUAAAUUAUUUCUAUAAUGGUGAUUGGAUAUUGUGGGCUUUGCCUGUCAUUUUAGCAUGCUACAGAUUUCUGCCUAAGGUGAUUAUCAGCUUGAAUUUGAGCAGAAGGCUAAAGCUGUUCUUGGAACUUACAACGGUGUUGUCUUUCCAAAUGAGAAAAGAUGACAAAGCUUUGUUUUAUUACAAUGUUACCUUUUACUAUGCCUGGUCAGAAACAAGCGAAUCCUCUCGAGUUUGUCGAGUUGUUUGCAGUGAUCAUCUGCCAUUUUCUAUUUGUAUAAUGUUUGAAGUUUGUAUGAAUGGAUUCAAUGAAAUUAUAGGUGUCAUACUACUUUGGUCGAGAUUAUGCUUCCAGAUAUUGAAGGAAAUAUGCCCUAGAGGCAAUAAUAAAGUUAUUAUUUAUUUCUUUAUAUCAUGA
rnacentral:rRNA from 1 species